UACAGAGACUGCGAGCGUUAUUCGGAUUCACUGGGCGUAAAGGGUGCGCAGGCGGCCGAGUGUGUGAGGCGUGAAAGCCCGGGGCUUAACCCCGGAAUUGCACCUCAAACUACACGGCUAGAGCAUUGGAGAGGGUAGCAGAAUUCACGGUGUAGCAGUGAAAUGCGUAGAUAUCGUGAGGAAUACCAGAGGCGAAGGCGGCUACCUGGACAAUUGCUGACGCUCAGGCACGGAAGCGUGGGGAGCAAACAGG
rnacentral:rRNA from 1 species